UAUUGCUGGGUGGAUAACAGUGGGAGACAUUCCUGUUUUCAGACAAAAGCCACCCUGGAGAACAAAAACAGACGUCACCCGUCCCAGCUUCGAAGCUGAAGAAACUGAACUUGGAGGACUCUGGGACUUGCCCAAGGUCACCAGCUUGUCAGCUGAAAUGCAGAUGAGGAAACUGAGGCCCAAGGCCCCUGGCUGGUGUGUAACAGAACCAAGUCUAGACUCCUAGAGUUCCCUUAUUCUCACUUUUUUUUCUGAAUAUUCGCCAAUGUUGCUUCUCUUGACUUCACCACCGAAAUGACACA